GAGAAGCCUCACUUAUAGAGUAUCUCAUCUUGAAGAAUAAAGUGGGCAGCUCGUCAUCUCAACUUCUAUGCCUCCUCUUUGUCAGGGAGAGGCAGGGUGUGGUUUUGUAGGAAUGCAAUAAUGGGUCCCAUCCAUGACGGGAUAUUUUCUAACCACAUCACCUCUUCGUUUUUGAAAUUGAGGGCCUCAGAAGGUGCUCUAUGGGAACCAGAGUAACUCGGAGGAGAAGCUCGAGCACAAGACCGGCGACCUCAAGGCCAAGGUUAAUUCCUUAACCAUUUCAUUUUUACUUUUCCUUUCUCUUUCUCUUCUCCCUGAAGAGAGCCCAAAACUGUUGAUUAUUCAGUUUUAUAAACACAGUCCUAACCUUUUUUUACAAGAUAUGUUCGAAGAAUCUAAGACUCAAAUCGUCUGGUGGGCUCUCUAUGUACUUGCCAUCUCUUACUUCUUAACAUGUUAGCUCAUCUAUUUUUCUAAUUUUAAAUAAAUUGUCGGUGGUGUUGGUGCAUAAUUUUUGCUAUCUUAUAAGGUGUGAUAAUGGUUAGGUUUUGUAAAAAUAGUAAAACUGCAGUGCCAAUGGAGUGGCCGUCUACUCGGCGCCUCUUUACCCUCUACCUCGUGAUUGUAGUUCAUAGGGGUGAGAUCAGAUUUUGACACAAUUUAUCUUUUGUUUUGUUAAUUUCAUCAAACUGUAGUUUGUUUUCAUUAGCUAUUUUUAUUAACUAAUCUAUGAUUGAGUGAUGAAAAAGAAUUCAUGGAAUGAACUGCAAAUGUUCUUCAAUUUUUCAAGGCUUAUAGCAGUCACUGUCGAUGGAUGAUUUUCUUGAUGUAUUCCCAAGAUCUUCUAAUCAUAUAAAUCCGAUUAGUAUUUUGUUCAUAUCCGCUCACUCUUUAAUUUGAUUUGAUUUUUACUUGAUUUAUUAAAUUAUUUUCAUUUUUAGGCAGUCAAUUUGUCACUGAGUUCUUAAUUUUCUUUGAAAGGAAAUCAGAAAUUUCCCAUGUUCUUGUGCAUGUUGCUUGUUCAAGAAAGGGAAAAAUAAAUAUGUUUGCUAAAAUUUUGAAAUUUGUGAAUAUUCUUCAAAUAGAUUAAGCAGCAUUAAAGGAUUAGCACUUUGGAAGUAAAGGAUUAUAAUUUACAUUAAAAACACGUAUCUUUAUACUGCAAAUACCAAAUAAUUAAAUUGUUCCUCGAGCUGAAAAUAGAAUAUCCAAUCUCUUGAUUACUACCACUCAUUGAAAAUCAUGUGGAAAUUUCAGAAAUUUUUUUCCAUCUAAUUGUUUAUAGCUUUUCUUAAGAAAAGUCCAAAUUUUGUUAUGGAAAGAAUUUGUUAACUUACAAUCAGAAAAUUGAUUUCUGUUUGGUUAAUAUGAUUGUUUCUCAAUUAUAAUUCAACAUUUUAUUGCUGACAUAGAGUUUUACAUGGGGAGGACAUUCCAUGAUAAGUCAUCCAUUCGCUAGGACUCACAGGAGGAACAGUGCUUUGAAUCAGACAAGCUCGUUUUUUUUAUAUCAUGCCAAUAUCUAAGAUUAUGAUGGCCUUGGAUAUCUUAUUUACUCAGCUAUUGAAUUUCAUGUAUCAAUUUGUUAUUUCAGGAUGUGUUCUCAUAGAGAUACACAGUAUCUGAUUACUGUAGUUCACGAAUUGUGUAUUUUUCAAAUGCUUUUUUAAAUUUUCA
rnacentral:lncRNA from 1 species